UAUAUACUCCCUCCGUCCCAUAAUUCUUGUCUCAAAUUUGCCCAAAAAUGGAUGUAUCUAUUCCUAAAAAGCAUGUAGAUACAAGUAAUAUUUCGACAAGAAUAUGGGACGGAGGGAGUAUAAG
rfam:Brachypodium distachyon strain Bd21 chromosome 2, whole genome shotgun sequence.